UAGUGGGAGCAUAUUUUGAUUACCGAGAACCAGGACACUCGGCUGGCAAUGAGAUACUCAAAUGAUACUCAGAGUUUACUCACUUUAAUGGCACAAUG